GAUGAACGCUAGCGGGAGGCUUAACACAUGCAAGUCGAGGGGUAAUUGUAGCAAUACAGUGAGACCGGCGGACGGGUGCGUAACGCGUAUGCAACUUGCCUUGUACAGGGGGAUAGCCCGUGGAAACGCGGAUUAACACCCCAUAGGUCGCUGGUUCUGCAUGGGACAGGCGGUAAAACUGAGGUGGUAUAAGAUGGGCAUGCGUCUGAUUAGCUGGUUGGUAAGGUAACGGCUUACCAAGGCGACGAUCAGUAGGGGUUCUGAGAGGAUAAUCCCCCACACUGGUACUGCAACACGGACCAGACUCCUACGGGAGGCAGCAGUGAGGAAUAUUGGUCAAUGGGCGCGAGCCUGAACCAGCCAUUCCGCGUGAAGGAAGAAGGCCUUAUGGGUUGUAAACUUCUUUUCUGUAAGAAGAAUAGCCACGACGCGUCGUGGUAUGACGGUAUUAUAGGAAUAAGCAUCGGCUAACUCCGUGCCAGCCGCCGCAGUAAGAC
rnacentral:rRNA from 1 species